rnacentral:rRNA from 1 species
UACGAAGGGGGCUAGCGUUGCUCGGAAUCACUGGGCGUAAAGCGCACGUAGGCGGAUUGUUAAGUCAGGGGUGAAAUCCUGGAGCUCAACUCCAGAACUGCCUUUGAUACUGGCGAUCUCGAGUCCGGGAGAGGUGAGUGGAACUGCGAGUGUAGAGGUGAAAUUCGUAGAUAUUCGUAAGAACACCAGUGGCGAAGGCGGCUCACUGGCCCGAUACUGACGCUGAGGCACGAAAGCGUGGGGAGCAAACAGG